GAGUAAUGUCUGGGAAACUGCCUGAUGGAGGGGGAUAACUACUGGAAACGGUGGCUAAUACCGCAUAACGUCGCAAGACCAAAGAGGGGGACCUUCGGGCCUCUUGCCAUCAGAUGUGCCCAGAUGGGAUUAGCUUGUUGGUGAGGUAACGGCUCACCAAGGCGACGAUCCCUAGCUGGUCUGAGAGGAUGACCAGCCACACUGGAACUGAGACACGGUCCAGACUCCUACGGGAGGCAGCAGUGGGGAAUAUUGCACAAUGGGCGCAAGCCUGAUGCAGCCAUGCCGCGUGUAUGAAGAAGGCCUUCGGGUUGUAAAGUACUUUCAGCGGGGAGGAAGGUGUUGUGGUUAAUAACCGCAGCAAUUGACGUUACCCGCAGAAGAAGCACCGGCUAACUCCGUGCCAGCAGCCGCGGUAAUACGGAGGGUGCAAGCGUUAAUCGGAAUUACUGGGCGUAAAGCGCACGCAGGCGGUCUGUCAAGUCGGAUGUGAAAUCCCCGGGCUCAACCUGGGAACUGCAUUCGAAACUGGCAGGCUUGAGUCUUGUAGAGGGGGGUAGAAUUCCAGGUGUAGCGGUGAAAUGCGUAGAGAUCUGGAGGAAUACCGGUGGCGAAGGCGGCCCCCUGGACAAAGACUGACGCUCAGGUGCGAAAGCGUGGG
rnacentral:rRNA from 7 species